CCGGAUACCCCGGGGUGCCGCAUGGCACCCCGGCUAAAGCCCCGACGGGAGGGGAUGGCUCCGCGGCCCAUCAGGUAGACGGCGGGGUGACGGCCCACCGUGCCGACAACGGGUAGCCGGGUUGAGAGACCGACCGGCCAGAUUGGGACUGAGACACGGCCCAGACUCCUACGGGAGGCAGCAGUGGGGAAUCUUGCGCAAUGGGGGGAACCCUGACGCAGCGACGCCGCGUGCGGGACGGAGGCCUUCGGGUCGUAAACCGCUUUCAGCAGGGAAGAGUCAAGACUGUACCUGCAGAAGAAGCCCCGGCUAACUACGUGCCAGCAGCCGCGGUAAUACGUAGGGGGCGAGCGUUAUCCGGAUUCAUUGGGCGUAAAGCGCGCGUAGGCGGCCCGGCAGGCCGGGGGUCGAAGCGGGGGGCUCAACCCCCCGAAGCCCCCGGAACCUCCGCGGCUUGGGUCCGGUAGGGGAGGGUGGAACACCCGGUGUAGCGGUGGAAUGCGCAGAUAUCGGGUGGAACACCGGUGGCGAAGGCGGCCCUCUGGGCCGAGACCGACGCUGAGGCGCGAAAGCUGGGGGAGCGAACAGGAUUAGAUACCCUGGUAGUCCCAGCCGU
rnacentral:rRNA from 1 species